AUCAGUUUCAAUAUUAAGAAAUGAAUGUCACACCACUCACCAAUAUAUUUCGUGAUCCACAAACAAAUGUAAUAACAUUCGCAAAUAUAAUUCAUACAUUUCAUGAUCCACAAACAAAUGUAACAACAUUCACAAAUAUAAUUCAUGAUGCACAAAUGAAUGUAACCCCAUUCACAAAUGCCAGCGCAGUUCUAUUCAUUUGCAAACCGGUCUACAUAUAUUCGCAAACCCUAUACAUAUUUGUGACUUCCAUUGUAUUUGUGUGUGGAUUUUUGAGACUGUCCUGACGGUAUUUGACACACAAAUGUGCUCAGCCAAUCACAUCAGCCGGCGUUCGAGCGUAAGGUUGAAAACAUUGCGCUUCUAUUACGCAGAGAAGGCUACAAGCGCGAAGCCACCAUAGAUCUGUAUUAUACACCGAUCCGAGGAAAUAACCGGAAGUAGAGCGGCCGCCUUUACUGAAGUGCUCCCUGACGUAAACUCGUAAUUGAAGCGUGUGAAGUUACUGACUUUCACAUCAUCUUUGUACAAAUAUGUCUGGAUCUGGACUAACGUGUGCCGUAAUCGGAUGUCACAAUAACAGCAGAAAGCUAAAAAUGUGGAAAAAGAGCGUAUGUGCGCUUCAUAGUCCAUAGUUUGAAGAGGAUUGUCCUUGUUGUGUGCCCUACGGUGUACACCGCUUCCCCGGCCGUGCUGAGGAUGAAGACAUUCGCAAGAUGUGGAUUAAAAACGUACACCGAAAGGACUUUGCCCCCAAACAAGUAUUCAAGGGUGUGUGGAGUACACUUCCCUGACGGCAGACCAACGCAGGAACACCCAUGAAUAUAGUAAAGCACCAUCAUGUGGAAGACCACCUCAAAGAGGAGAUGUCUCCAGCCCCCAACAGAGAGACCAUGUGAUGAGCCUCCUGUGACAGAUUCUGACACCGAAGUAGGGCAUAGCUUGGAGGAUAGUCUGUCUCCACACCAAUGUGAUGUUGGCACUCAGUGGCCAGAGCGUAGUGAUCAUGAUUAUUGUUCGAUGAAGUCAACAAAAGAUGCAAGCACACAAACAGAUCCUACACCAUCACUGUCAGCUCAUGACAUGGAUGAUAAAGUGUCAAAAUUUUUACACUGGACUAGACAUCAUCAGCUUUUGGCAACUUUUGAACACCAUCAUUGGCUUUCUUCCACAGUCGAAGACGUUCAAAUUACCAGUCCAUGAACAGCUACUGCUGGUCCUAAUGAGGCUUCGGCUUGGCUACAGCCUGUGAUAUGUUCGCAAUGUGGAGAGCAACACUUGCCAAUUUCACAAGGGAAAAUCUUAUGUUUUGGCUCCCUCGAGACACUCUGAAUAGAGUAAGACCCUCAAGUUUUCUUGAACACUAUCCCAAUGCAACAUGCAUCAUAGAUUGCACUGAAAUAUUUGUCCAAAGACCGAAGAACUG